rnacentral:rRNA from 1 species
GGUUAAGUGACUAAGCGUACACGGUGGAUGCCUAGGCAGUCAGAGGCGAUGAAGGGCGUGCUAAUCUGCGAUAAGCGUCGGUAAGGUGAUAUGAACCGUAAUAACCGACGAUACCCGAAUGGGGAAACCCGGUGCACUUUGGUGCAUCAUUGCAACAUGAAUACAUAGUGUUGCAAGGCGAACCUGGGGAACUGAAACAUCUAAGUACCCAGAGGAAAAGAAAUCAACCGAGAUUCCCCCAGUAGCGGCGAGCGAACGGGGAACAGCCCAGAACCUGAAUCAGUUUGUGCAUUAGUGGAAGCGUCUGGAAAGUCGCAGGGUACAGGGUGAUACUCCCGUACACAAAAAUGCACUUAUUGUGAGUUCGAUGAGUAGGGCGGGACACGUGACAUCCUGUCUGAAUAUGGGGGGACCAUCCUCCAAGGCUAAAUACUCCUGACUGACCGAUAGUGAACCAGUACCGUGAGGGAAAGGCGAAAAGAACCCCGGCGAGGGGAGUGAAACAGAACCUGAAACCGUGUACGUACAAGCAGUGGGAGCACCUUCGUGGUGUGACUGCGUACCUUUUGUAUAAUGGGUCAGCGACUUAUAUUCUGUAGCAAGGUUAACCGUAUAGGGGAGCCGUAGGGAAACCGAGUCUUAACUGGGCGUUAAGUUGCAGGGUAUAGACCCGAAACCCGGUGAUCUAGCCAUGGGCAGGUUGAAGGUUGGGUAACACUAACUGGAGGACCGAACCGACUAAUGUUGAAAAAUUAGCGGAUGACUUGUGGCUGGGGGUGAAAGGCCAAUCAAACCGGGAGAUAGCUGGUUCUCCCCGAAAGCUAUUUAGGUAGCGCCUCGUGAACUCAUCUUCGGGGGUAGAGCACUGUUUCGGCUAGGGGGCCAUCCCGGCUUACCAACCCGAUGCAAACUGCGAAUACCGAAGAAUGUUAUCACGGGAGACACACGGCGGGUGCUAACGUCCGUCGUGAAGAGGGAAACAACCCAGACCGCCAGCUAAGGUCCCAAAGUCAUGGUUAAGUGGGAAACGAUGUGGGAAGGCACAGACAGCCAGGAUGUUGGCUUAGAAGCAGCCAUCAUUUAAAGAAAGCGUAAUAGCUCACUGGUCGAGUCGGCCUGCGCGGAAGAUGUAACGGGGCUAAACCAUGCACCGAAGCUGCGGCAGCGACGCUUAUGCGUUGUUGGGUAGGGGAGCGUUCUGUAAGCCGUCGAAGGUGGCCUGUGAGGGCUGCUGGAGGUAUCAGAAGUGCGAAUGCUGACAUAAGUAACGAUAAAGCGGGUGAAAAGCCCGCUCGCCGGAAGACCAAGGGUUCCUGUCCAACGUUAAUCGGGGCAGGGUGAGUCGACCCCUAAGGCGAGGCCGAAAGGCGUAGUCGAUGGGAAACAGGUUAAUAUUCCUGUACUCGGUGUUACUGCGAAGGGGGGACGGAGAAGGCUAUGUUAGCCGGGCGACGGUUGUCCCGGUUUAAGCAUGUAGGCGGAGAGUUUAGGUAAAUCCGGACUCUUUUUAACGCUGAGGUGUGAUGACGAGGCACUACGGUGCUGAAGUAACAAAUGCCCUGCUUCCAGGAAAAGCCUCUAAGCAUCAGGUAACACGGAAUCGUACCCCAAACCGACACAGGUGGUCAGGUAGAGAAUACCAAGGCGCUUGAGAGAACUCGGGUGAAGGAACUAGGCAAAAUGGUGCCGUAACUUCGGGAGAAGGCACGCUGGCGCGUAGGUGAAGGGACUUGCUCCCGGAGCUGAAGCCAGUCGAAGAUACCAGCUGGCUGCAACUGUUUAUUAAAAACACAGCACUGUGCAAACACGAAAGUGGACGUAUACGGUGUGACGCCUGCCCGGUGCCGGAAGGUUAAUUGAUGGGGUUAUCCGCAAGGAGAAGCUCUUGAUCGAAGCCCCGGUAAACGGCGGCCGUAACUAUAACGGUCCUAAGGUAGCGAAAUUCCUUGUCGGGUAAGUUCCGACCUGCACGAAUGGCGUAAUGAUGGCCAGGCUGUCUCCACCCGAGACUCAGUGAAAUUGAACUCGCUGUGAAGAUGCAGUGUACCCGCGGCAAGACGGAAAGACCCCGUGAACCUUUACUAUAGCUUGACACUGAAUAUUGAACCUUGAUGUGUAGGAUAGGUGGGAGGCUUUGAAGCGUGGACGCCAGUCUGCGUGGAGCCAACCUUGAAAUACCACCCUUUAACGUUUGAUGUUCUAACCUGGCGCCGUGAUCCGGCGUGGGGACAGUGUCUGGUGGGUAGUUUGACUGGGGCGGUCUCCUCCUAAAGAGUAACGGAGGAGCACGAAGGUUAGCUAAUCACGGUCGGACAUCGUGAGGUUAGUGCAAUGGCAUAAGCUAGCUUGACUGCGAGAGUGACGGCUCGAGCAGGUGCGAAAGCAGGUCAUAGUGAUCCGGUGGUUCUGAAUGGAAGGGCCAUCGCUCAACGGAUAAAAGGUACUCCGGGGAUAACAGGCUGAUACCGCCCAAGAGUUCAUAUCGACGGCGGUGUUUGGCACCUCGAUGUCGGCUCAUCACAUCCUGGGGCUGAAGUAGGUCCCAAGGGUACGGCUGUUCGCCGUUUAAAGUGGUACGCGAGCUGGGUUUAGAACGUCGUGAGACAGUUCGGUCCCUAUCUGCCGUGGGCGCUGGAAGAUUGAGAGGGGUUGCUCCUAGUACGAGAGGACCGGAGUGAACGCACCACUGGUGUUCGGGUUGUCAUGCCAAUGGCAUUGCCCGGUAGCUAAGUGCGGAAAAGAUAAGCGCUGAAAGCAUCUAAGCGCGAAACUUGCCUCGAGAUGAAUCUUCCCUGGGCCUUUAAGGCCCCUGAAGGGACGUUGAAGACUACGACGUUGAUAGGCCGGGUGUGUAAGCGCAGCGAUGCGUUGAGCUAACCGGUACUAAUGACCCGUGAGGCUUAACCUUACAACACCAGAAGCGUUCUG